GCGAUUCGACAUGGUCUGAUUUUAUUGAUUGUCUUGUUAUUUUUUUUGUGGUUAGUUAUGUUUUUAAUUAAAAAAUUAUUUUGUUGUUGUAUUGUUUUGAUUUAAUUCUUUUUACUAUAGUUUAUUGGUACCGUGAGGGUAUGAGGUGUAUAUAAUGUUUUUUUGGAAGUUGAUUUUAUUUGUCGUACCUUGUGUAUCAGGGUUCAUUGAAUUUUAUUAUUUAUUUUUGUUUCCCGAUUUUAAAGGAGUUAAUGGUUUAUGUUAGUUACUGUUUCAUUAGUAUUAAUAAUAGGUUGUUGGUAGUGAAAUGUUAUUCGUCUUUAGUGGUUUCUGGUUUUUCAAGAAAUGAAUUUAAUUCAUACGUCUUAUUUAAUUUCUGUUGUUGAUUUACUUAUUUUUAUUUGAUGUUAAGAUUGAGGGGGAUUAGCUCCUUAUUUUAUUUUUAUAAUUGGUUUAAUUUAAUUUAGUUUUGUGGAUUUUAUAGUGAUUUUCUAUUUGAUUAUGUUAAAAUUUUAUUUGUUGUUUGUUUUUUAUUUAUUAUUAUUUAAGUUAUUUAUUGAAAUGUUUUCUUUAUUUUUGGGUUGUCUAGUAAUUAUUGUGUAAUUAGUAAAUUUUAUUGGUUGUUUUUGAAUUGUAAAAACGGAGUGUUAAUUGCUUUUGAGGAAUUAGGCAAAUUUAUUAUGUCCGCCUGUUUAACAAAAACAUCUUUUCUCGUUAGUUUUUGAAGUAUGGCCUGCCCACUGACUGUUGUUGAAGGGCCGCGGUAUUUUGACCGUGCAAAGGUAGCAUAAUCAUUAGUUCUUUAAUUGUGAUCUGGUAUGAAUGGCUUGACGAGACAUAAGCUGUCUUGGAAGUAUUAUUUAUUGAAUUUGGUUUUUGAGUUAAAAUUCUUAAAUGUUUUUAUGGGACGAGAAGACCCUAUAGAGUUUUACAAUUUUCCCAUUUAUUUGUUGUUUGUUUGUUUUUGUUGAGUGGGAAGGAUUGUUUUGUUGGGGUGAUGGGAGGAAUAAUAUUUAACUCCUCUUUGAUUUUGUAUAUUUAUUUAUAUGUAUUUGAUCCAUUUAUUUUGAUUAUAAGAUUAAAUUACCUUAGGGAUAACAGCGUUAUCCUCCUUGAGAGUUCUUAUUGGCGGGGGGGUUUGCGACCUCGAUGUUGGAUUAAGGUGAAUUUUCGGUGCAGGAGCUGGAAGUGAUUAGGUCUGUUCGACCUUUAAAAUCUUACAUGAUCUGAGUUCAGACCGGCGUGAGCCAGGUUGGUUUCUAUCUAUAGAAUUGUUUUAUAUCUUAGUACGAGAGGACCGGGUAUUUGAAAUAAUUUCAGGGUUUAUAUUGGGGUUUGUUAAUGUGGUACUAUUUUGGCAGAUAAGUGCAU
rnacentral:rRNA from 1 species